AAAAGGACAACUUUCAGCUGUCGGCCACACUGCUUUUUCUUUCCCUCCCAGUUGAUACUGCAACGGCGAAGAAUUUUUUCGGGGAAAGCGGAACUAACGAUAAGAGUGAAACCACCAGGAGGAUGGAAACGGAAAGCAAUGCAGAAGCAGAAGAGUCUCUAACAAUUUUGGCUCUCUCGCUGACCUCAUCUUCUUGAUCGCUUCACACCAAGUGAGCAUACAAUCACUUUUCCCCCAUCGUCAUCCUCCGAAGAGACUGCUGCCUGUCGUGCCUCUUGCAGGGCUCUCACAGCUCAGAGCUGGCUCUGCCGCAGGCUUCUUCCUCACAUCCCGGCCUGCACUGGCAUUGCUGUCCCCCAGCCUCAUCCUGCUGCCUGAGCUUCCUGGCAGGCACAGCUACUCGCCCUGCUCUAUUAUUCCCUCACUAGCUGCAAUCAGCAUACGGGGUCCCACCACAAUGGGGAGGCUGCGGUGCUCGGAAGGAAGAAGACAUUUAGCAGAGGCCAAAGCUUGAGGUUUGCAGGCACAGCCUUCUGCCAUCAGCAGAUGCUUCACCCCCCCAUCAGCUCUUAGCAGUGACACCCUUCAUACAGCCAGGCAUGGCACUCGCCCAUUACAUUUCACUGGGACACCAAAAAACACUUUCCUGUUUAAUAGAAAAACUAGUAUGUGGGUGGCCAAGGGACUACAAACUCUUCCUAGUUUCUUCAACAACCUGCUCUGCUUCCUUAGAUGUGCACUUAAAAAGAUUCUCUGAUUGUGAGCGGACAGUUAAAGGCUACUGAACAUCCCUUUGAAGGUCUCAUUAAAAUGGAGACAUGAGUGCAACCCAAAUCAUGUUGAGUAGGUGUACCCAUCACAGCUGUGCUAACGGACACACUGUUAGCAAACAUAGAACAAUGCUGAGGCUGACCUGACCUGGUUGUAUAUUAGAAGUGUGGCUGCAGCAUUGUGCAGAGGUGAGAGAAGAUGCUUGGUCAGUUAUAAAGGAGCAUCCAUUUAGGGCUCAGAAGUGCAGGCUCACUUCUUAGACAAUCACUGGAUUAUCUGUUCGGGAACUUUUCUCAUCUGGAGAAGAGCAAAAUAAUUUAAAAACUUUCAAAAGACAAGAUCUACAAAGAAAAGUUGGAUGAACUGGUCUGCUUUCGGAUAGAUAAAUAGAUAGAAAAGAGAAAGCUGGGAGAAACUUCUAACGGAGGGCUUCUCUCAAGAGGCCGCACCUUUCUAUCUGCAAAGACCAGAGGCAAGACUUAGCCCACUCUGCCCUGCUUUGCCAAUUCAGAUGUAACGUCAAGCAGGCAGCAGGACUCUCAGACCCUCUCUCUUAUUCCCAAACUCCUUUCAUCUCUCUCACAAAUUAAUAUGCACUCGCUUCAGAUGUUCAGAAGACAGUCCAUCAUUUUUCUUCUUGCCCACCAUGUGACCCUAUUGUGCUAUCUGUUCUCCCGCUCAGUAUUAACCCCUUGUCCAAAUUGCCGCAAAGAGAAGGAAAAUAAUCUAUUCUCCAUUUCCCUGGUGAACUGAAGAAGAAAGAACCAACUUAAUAGCAACAUGUCAGAUACAGGUUAGACAUUAAGAAAAGCUUGCUGGCACUUAAGGGUAGGAAAAUAGUAGAAUAGAUCACUUGAGGAGACCUUGGGGUCUCCAUCCUCUGAGGUAUUUCAGAGUAGGCUACACAAGAAGCUGUCAGGACUGGGAGUUCCUGCCAUUUGCUUAGGCUCAAGGUGAUGCCAAGAAAAACUGCAAGGCCCCUAUAUGCAGUCAAGGUAAGGGAAAAAAUCAUUUGCAUUUGCAGAAAAGAAGGAAUGGAAACACUGUGUAAAUGGUGCUAUUGUCCCACCAAAGAGAAGAAUUUAGUUUCCAGCACUGUCCUUCUAGUAUUUCUCAGUAACGAUGGGUUUGCUUAAAUACACAAAAUCUAGCAUAGCAAUUGCCUCAAUUUAGAAAUUAACCUGAUGAAACAUUAUUCCUUGUACAUCUGUGUCUGAAAUAGAUUUUUACCUUGACAGUUUGGCGGUAGCUAUAUAGAAACAUUUCUUUCAGCUUUGUUUGAUUUUGUUACAAUAUAUUUUUAAAGCAAAAACAUCUUAUAAACAAUAACAAAUUUAAUUGGAAAGAGAAAAAAGGCUGCUCUAAGUCAGGAAAUCGUGGCUCUUCAUUCUUAGAGAUGAAAGGAAAUCAGUGAGAGUUGUGAAUUUUAACAAAUAGAAAAAAAAAUUAAAAUGCACUAAAAAUGCAAAAAGAUCACUGAGAGUUGAAAUUUCAUUGUAUAAAUCUGUAUAGAGCUGGUUCUAAUUUCAGUUCUGAGACUCGUCAUUUUGUAGCCCUCUAAUAAGAAUGAAACGUAUUUCUGGGUUAGUAUGUAGUAGGAUUAUAUGGGAUGAAAAGGAGAAGCAGUGGUGCAUUUUGUACCAAAUAGAGGUGAAGGAAUAUUUACUGGGGAGCAAAGAAGUGCUGGACCCGUUUUGCUGCACCGCGAGGAAUUCAGUCCAAGCAGACUAUCCCAUUCGAACUUAGAACUACUUCCGUCUAGAUUGCUAUCUGUACAAGUACCCAAAUACGUCUGCAAAGUGCUUGAAGAUGAAACACAAAUAAUGGGAGGUGAUUCUAAAUUGCUUGGACUGCGAGUGAGCCAACUGUUUCUUUCGAAACUUACUUCCUGGGUACAUUCCAAACUUAUUUUCAAUUAAAACAAGGACG
ensembl:lncRNA